rnacentral:misc_RNA from 1 species
UGAAAAGCUCGGUUGAAUUGUCCUGAAAAUUGUAUGUUUAGUAAGUGGUAACACAACUAACACCUGAGAUCAACUCAAAGCAUAAAAUAUAUGCAGUUUCUUAAGUUUAGAUUCCACACAUGCUGGGCAUUUAUCCACCACAGCAACACUAAUACAAGAGUAUUCCUUAAUACAUCACACACAAUUUCUUACUGAACCAAACAGAAACAUAUGAAAGUGAGAGAAUAAUGAAAUAUUAUUUUGCAUUCAUUCAAAAUGGGGAAGUUUAUAUGCUAAUAAGCAAUGUUCUUACAGUGUAUCAAAUCAUAUUUGAUUUGGCAUGCUUAAAGGCCCACAUAUUUCACUGAGUAACUUCUUGCAUAAUAACUUAAAAGUCCAUUGACUUAAAACCAAAGACAGAUAUUUAUGGGAAACUCAAAGCUUCUACUACCUACAUACAAAGGUUUGGGAGUGACUUCUUGCACUAUAAGUCUAUUGACUUAAAAUCAAAGACUGACAUUUUGUGGGAAACUCACAACUUAUACUUCCUUUCCACAAAGGUUUGAAGGUGUUUGCCCAUUGUGGUUGAUGGGGAGAUUGUUAUCACUAGGAGGCAAGGGUUAAAGUCAAGGAAGAUUAGAUAUCCAAGAUCCUUUUCGAUCUCUCUCCUUUUGAAAGCUAGGGAUCAGGGUCUUUAAUUGUUUACAUUAUUACAUAUGUCUGCGGUCCUAAUUGGCACAGGUUUGUUAUUUUAAGAUAUUUUCAUAUUUAUGCAUCUGUGCUGUACAAUGGUGUCUAAAUGGGAUUUUAAGUUAUCAGGUAUUUUAAUGACAAUAUUUAAAGAUCUCAAAUUACUUCUAGCAGGAGAUAUUUGAUAAUUGUAUUAUAGAAUAAAACCGGUCACCAUCAGAUAUUCCUUUGUCCAAUCUCAAUUUCCAUGAUCUAUUUCAGGAGAAUGUUUGUGUCCUCUCUUGAAAAUACUUUUUUUUCCUAGUAAGUGAGAAAAUGCUUCUCUGAAUUUGGUUCCUGAUGCUUUUCCAUAUUUGAAUCAAGAGGCGUUUUUUCCUCCCAUAUCAAAUUUCACUAUUCCCUUGGGAUCCAAAUCAGUUGCUGUCAGGUCCUACUUCUUAGAAAGAAUUUGGUGACAAAGUGACGACUAGUGUGUCUGAUCAAGUGAUGGGAGGGUUUAAUUAGAUCUUCCCUUCAACACAAUAAGAGGGCUUUACUUCAUUAGUUUUAUUUUUUUUAGUUAACUUUUCCAAGUUCUUUUGUUAUUUCUCUUAUUUCUUCAUUAAUAAAAUAUUUAUCUUGUUUGAGAACAAGGCUUGAAUGUUAAGGAUUGAGAACUUCAUGUUGAGAAGUUAAUGUUCUGCAGGACAUUGAUGAGUUUAAGAGAAUGAAGCAAAGGAGAAAAAAAAAUGCUUUUUGAGGCUCAGAUUGAUAAAGCAAUCCCAAGGGAUCAGAUGAGAUGGUAAUUGUAUUGUAGGGAAGUGGGGUAGAGCCUAGAGGACCUGGAUCACCUAUACCAGAAGGCACCAGAAGGAUCUGCAGCAGUAUGAGAAUUCAAAUGGUUCUCUGGAAGUUAUCCAGCUACGAGCUGAUAAGGUGGAGAAAUUUCUGAAAGGCCAUGUGAUCACGGCAACUGAAUCUUCUAUAAAAAGGGAGCAUGAGCAUAGGGAAGGCAUGUAGUUGAGUUAUAUUUCCAGCUAUUCAAUAGCUCGGAGACUUAGAGAUAAUCUGUGGGAGUUUUUCUUUUUGCUGUAUUGGAUUUAUACAAUUUUCUUAAUAAAAUUAUGCUCUUCCUUUCUCUUCCAUCAGUUCUUUUUCUUCUUCUGUUUCUGCAAUUUCCUUUAUUUGACAGUAGGAUUCCUUACUUUAUCAGUAAAAAAAGACUAUGCUAAAAUGAAGAAGCACCAAUAUAAAUAUUAGGUUGUUUCAUAGGGACGUAACUCACUAGUGGUAGGACAUGGGAGGAAGAGUUCCAUAAGAAAUUUGGGAUCGAGAGAAAAGAUUAAUAUGAUUCUUCCAUUAAUUGAGGGUGAGAUUAUAAGUUUUUAUAGGGAUCUAAAUAUAGAGGAGGUAGGUUUAAAAUCCAGGACUGAGUGUUUCGAUUUGCAUUAUUUCUGAUGAAAAAUAAAUUGAUUAGCAAGGCCUUUCGAAGUGGAGAAGGUGAGGAAGAAGGAAGACAGUUCCAUAGAUGAAGAUAAAUGAAGCCCCUAAUCUAGAUAGUUUUACAAUGGCUUUUCUUUUUUUCCCUUUUCCCUAGCAUUUUUAGGAAUAGUUCUGGAGUAUUAUGCCAAUGGGAUAGUUAAAAAGAGUGCGAAUUUAAAUUUUUUUGCUCUAGUUUCUAUUAAAGAUGCUCCAUUAAGUUUCUUGUAAUUUAAACAAAUUAGCCUGGUCACUACAUAAUAAGAUUCUAACUGAGAUGUAUCAUUUCUAGUUCUCAAACAGCUUCAAAGCAGAUAAUACAAAAUUUAGAUGUAUAAUUGGUGGCUGGUUAUGUACUUAUGUUGUAAAGGUGCAUGUAGGAGGAGAAGGAGGGGGAAUAAAUGGGUUGUUUGAAAAUUGAAUUUUGAGAAGGGUUACAAUAAGG